AACCCUUCGGGGUCAGUGGCGCACGGGUGCGUAACGCNNNNNNNNNCUGCCUUUAGGUUCGGAAUAACUCAGAGAAAUUUGAGCUAAUACCGGAUAAUGUCUUCGGACCAAAGAUUUAUCGCCUUUAGAUGGGCCCGCGUUAGAUUAGAUAGUUGGUGGGGUAACGGCCUACCAAGUCGACGAUCUAUAGCUGGUCUGAGAGGAUGAUCAGCCACACUGGGACUGAGACACGGCCCAGACUCCUACGGGAGGCAGCAGUGGGGAAUAUUGGACAAUGGGCGAAAGCCUGAUCCAGCAAUGCCGCGUGAGUGAUGAAGGCCUUAGGGUUGUAAAGCUCUUUUACCAGGGAUGAUAAUGACAGUACCUGGAGAAUAAGCUCCGGCUAACUCCGUGCCAGCAGCCGCGGUAAUACGGAGGGAGCUAGCGUUGUUCGGAAUUACUGGGCGUAAAGCGCGCGUAGGCGGUCUAUUAAGUCAGGGGUGAAAUCNCGGAGCUCAACUCCGGAACUGCCCUUGAAACUGGCAGANUAGAAUCUUGNAGAGGCGAGUGGAAUUCCNAGUGNAGAGGUGAAAUUCGNAGANNUUCGGAANAACANCAGUGGCNNANGNNNACUCGCUGGACAAGUANUGACGCUGAGGUGCGAAAGCGUGG
rnacentral:rRNA from 1 species